UACCUGACUGCUAUCGGAUUGGUACUAAGCCAUGUGAGUCAUUGUAGCAAUACAAGGCAUACGGCUCAGUAACACGUAGUCAAUCUGCCCUAUGGACGUGGAUAACCUCGGGAAACUGAGAAUAAUCCGCGAUAGAUCAUAAUGCCUGGAACGGUUUAUGGUCCAAAUGAUUCGUCGCCAUAGGAUGGGACUGCGGCCUAUCAGCUUGUUGGUGAGGUAAUGGCCCACCAAGGCUAUUACAGGUACGGGCUCUGAGAGGAGAAGCCCGGAGAUGGGUACUGAGACACGGACCCAGGCCCUAUGGGGCGCAGCAGGCGAGAAACCUUUGCAAUGUGCGCAAGCACGACAAGGUUAAUCCGAGUGUUUCCUGCUAAAGGAAUCUUUUGUUAGUUCUAAAACCACUGAUGAAUAAGGGGUGGGCAAGUUCUGGUGUCAGCCGCCGCGGUAAAACCAGCACCUCAAGUGGUCAGGAGGAUUAUUGGGCCUAAAGCAUCCGUAGCCGGUUCUGUAAGUUUCCGGUUAAAUCCACUAGCUCAACUAAUGGGCUGCCGGAAAUACUGCAGAACUAGGGAGUGGGAGAGGUAGACGGUACUCGGGAGGAAGGGGUAAAAUCCUUUGAUCUCUUGAUGACCACCUGUGGCGAAGGCGGUCUACCAGAACACGUUCGACGGUGAGGGAUGAAAGCCGGGGGAGCAAACCGGAUUAGAUACCCGGGUAGUCCCAGCUGUAAACGAUGCAGACUCGGUGAUGCACUGGCUUUUGGCCAGUGCAGUGCCGCAGGGAAGCCGUUAAGUUUGCCGCCUGGGAAGUACGUACGCAAGUAUGAAACUUAAAGGAAUUGGCGGGGGAGCGCCACANGGGUGAAGCCUGCGGUUCAAUUGGAUUCAACGCCGGAAA
rnacentral:rRNA from 1 species